AUGGGCAUGUCGAUCUGUUCAGGUCAGGAGUCUUAUCAAACAUGUGAAGUUUGGGGCAGAUUGGACAUUGUAUGUCUGAGUUAUAGCAACUUCCUUUUUCAUGGCGAAUCAUCGAAAUUCGUCAGGCCGCCAUGGACACGCCCUUCAACGAAAACUCAAGAUCUUCGCAAUCACAAAGUUCGAUGUCUCGCCAUGGGAAUAAAAGUUAUUGUAACUCAGGCAUAAAAUGUCCGAUCUUGCCCAAACUUCACAUGUUUGAUAAGAGUCCUGGCCUGAACACAUCUGAAGGCCAAUAUUCCAUUGGGUGUGGCAAAAUGCCUCGAUAGCGCCACCUAUACAUUUUCAACGGAGUGCGCCUCGAGCUACAUUUCACGUAUAUGUACAAAAAUCGGUACACACAUGUAACACACCAAUACCUACAAAAAAGUCUCUUGGUACGAAAUUCGAAUCCCAACAGGAAGUCAGUUAUUUUGAAUUUUCUCUGCAAAAUUUGUGUCGUUUUUGCAAUUUUCAGGGGUUGUACUUUAACGAACUCCUCCUAGAGAUUUAUUCAGAUCAACACCAAACUUUGUCAGUGUAAUCUUAAGGCCUUCGUGAUGUUAAAUUGCGAAGAUCUUGAGGUUUCAUUUAAGGGCGUGUCUGUGGCGGCCUUACAAAUUUCGAUGUUUCGCCAUGAGAAAGGAAGUUGCUAUAACUCAGACAUACAAUGUCCAAUCUGCCCCAAACUUCACAUGUUUGAGAAGACUCCUGACCUGAAUAUAUCUACAUGCCAAUAUUCAGAUAUCGCUAUAGCGCCACCUGCUGGCAACAGGAAGUGACAUGUUUUACGCCGUAACAAACUACUCCUAGAAAUUUUAUGACAUUUUAUACUUUUUUUUGGUCAGUCUAAUCUAAAGGCCUUUGCGAUGUUAAAUUGUGAACAUCUUGAGGUUUCAUUAAAGGGUGUGGCCAUGGCGCCAUGACAAAGUUCGAUGUCUCGCCAUGGGAAUAGAAGUUGUUGUAACUCAGGCAUAAGAUGUCCGAUCUUCCCCAAACUUCACAUGUUCGAAAAGAGUCUUGGCCUGAACACAUCUGAAGGUCAUUAUUCCACUAUAAUCAUAGCGCCACCUGCUGACAACAGAAAAUGGCUUGUUUUACACUAACUUAAACAUGCAAUGUCCAAUCUGCACCAAACUUCAGAUAUUUGAUAAGAGUCAUGGCCUGAAGAUAUCUAAAGGCCAAUGUUCAGUUAUAAUCAUAGCGCCACCUGUUGGCAAUAGGACACAACAUGCUUUAUACUAACUCAAACAUUCCAUGUUCAAUCUGCACUAAAUUUCAUAUGCUUGAUAAAAGUGCUGGACUGAAGAAAUCUACAUGACAACAUCCAGUUAUAGUCAUAGCGCCACCAGCUGGCAGCAGGAAGAUUGGCAUAUAUAAAUGACUUUGACAUAUUCCUCUUAUAUUUACCACAUUAAACGCAUAUUUCUCGCCGUUCGCUGUUUUACAAAAGCCACCCGGUGGUGGUGAGCCCGGGUGCGAGGGCCCGUUCAUCGCUGCUUGCAGCUUUAAUUAGGGCCCGAGCACCGAUGGUGUGAGGACCCUCUUGUAUCUGCUUCGUUUAUUAUUAUUAUUAUUAUUCUUCUUCUUCUUCUUCUCCAAAAUGAAUCGCAUUUUUGAGGGCCUAAACAUGCUCGAAAAGUCCUGAAACUUUGCACACGCGUCAGACCUGGUGAAAAUUUACGGCUGAUAUAGGUUUCAGAAGAGGGUGUGGCAAAAUGGCUCGACAGCGCCACCUACCGUAAAAAAAUCAACAGCCCUCGAGCUGUGUUUCACAUACAUGCAUGAAAAUUGGCACACAUAUGUAAAGCAUCAGUACCUACGAAAAAGACUCUUGGAGCAAUAUCCGAAACCCAACAGGAAGUCGGUUAUUUUUAAUUUUAUGAGCAAAUUUUGCAUCAUUUUUGUCAUUUGCAUGCCUUGUAUUUUUAACGAACUCCUCCUAGAGAUUUAUUCAGAUCAACACCAAAUUUGGUAUGCCUAAUCUAAAGGCCUUUGCGAUGUUAAAUUGCGAAGAUCUUGAGUUUUCGUUGAAGGGCGUGUCCGUGGCGGCCUCACGAAUUUCGAUGAUUCGCCAUGAAAAUGAAGUUGCUAUAACUCAGACAUACAAUGUCCAAUCUGCCACAAACUUCACAUGUUUGAUAAGACUCCUGACCUGAACAGAUUGACAUGCCCAUAUUCAGUUAUAGUCAUAGCGCCACCUACUGGCAACAGGAAGUGACAUAUUUUACGCUGUAACAAACUACCCUGAGAAAUUUUAUGACAUCAAUCUUUUUUUUUCAGUCACUCUAUUCUAAAGGUCUGUGCGAUGUUAAAUUGUGAAGAUCUUGAGUUUUCGUUAAAGGGCGUGUCCAUGGCGCCGUCACAAAGUUCGAUGUCUCGCCAUGGGAAUAAAAGUUAUUGUAACUCAGGCAUAAAAUGUCCGAUCUUGCCCAAACUUCACAUGUUUGAUAAGAGUCCUGGCCUGAACACAUCUGAAGGCCAAUAUUCCAUUGGGUGUGGCAAAAUGCCUCGAUAGCGCCACCUAUACAUUUUCAACGGAGUGCGCCUCGAGCUACAUUUCACGUACAUGUACAAAAAUCGGUACACACAUGUAACACACCAAUACCUACAAAAAAGUCUCUUGGUACGAAAUUCGAAUCCCAACAGGAAGUCAGUUAUUUUGAAU
ensembl:lncRNA